GUUGUAUGGUUAAGUGACUAAGCGUACACGGUGGAUGCCUUGGCAGUCAGAGGCGAUGAAGGACGUAUUAACUUGCGAUAAGCCCAGAUUAGGUAGUAAAAACCAUUUGAGUCUGGGAUUUCCGAAUGGGGAAACCCACUAGCAUAAGCUAGUAUCGCUGCGUGAAUACAUAGCGCAGCGAGCGAACCGGGGGAACUGAAACAUCUAAGUACCCGAGGAAAAGAAAUCAACCGAGAUUCCGAAAGUAGCGGCGAGCGAAAUUGGACUAGCCCUUAAGCUUUUUAUGCGUCAGGUGAAACUUCUGGAAAGUUGUGCGAUACAGGGUGAUAGCCCCGUAACCGGCAACGCAUUUAAAGUGAAAUCGAGUAGGGCGGGACACGUGAUAUCCUGUCUGAAUAUGGGGGACCAUCCUCCAAGGCUAAAUACUACUGACUGACCGAUAGUGAACCAGUACCGUGAGGGAAAGGCGAAAAGAACCCCUGUGAGGGGAGUGAAAUAGAACCUGAAACCGUGUACGUACAAGCAGUAGGAGCACCUUCGUGGUGUGACUGCGUACCUUUUGUAUAAUGGGUCAGCGACUUAUAUUCAGUGGCAAGGUUAACCAUCUAGGGGAGCCGUAGGGAAACCGAGUCUUAACUGGGCGUUCAGUCUCUGGAUAUAGACCCGAAACCAGGUGAUCUAGCCAUGGGCAGGUUGAAGGUUGAGUAACAUCAACUGGAGGACCGAACCGACUAAUGUUGAAAAAUUAGCGGAUGACUUGUGGCUAGGGGUGAAAGGCCAAUCAAACCUGGAGAUAGCUGGUUCUCCCCGAAAGCUAUUUAGGUAGCGCCUCGGACGAAUACUACUGGGGUAGAGCACUGUUAAGGCUAGGGGGUCAUCCCGACUUACCAACCCUUUGCAAACUCCGAAUACCAGUAAGUACUAUCCGGGAGACACACGGCGGGUGCUAACGUCCGUCGUGGAGAGGGAAACAACCCAGACCGCCAGCUAAGGUCCCAAAUUACUACUAAGUGGGAAACGAUGUGGGAAGGCUCAGACAGCCAGGAUGUUGGCUUAGAAGCAGCCAUCAUUUAAAGAAAGCGUAAUAGCUCACUGGUCGAGUCGGCCUGCGCGGAAGAUGUAACGGGGCUAAGUAGUAAACCGAAGCUGCGGCAAUGCACUUUAGUGCAUUGGGUAGGGGAGCGUUCUGUAAGCGGUUGAAGGUGUGUGGUAACGCAUGCUGGACGUAUCAGAAGUGCGAAUGCUGACAUGAGUAACGAUAAAGGGGGUGAAAAACCUCCUCGCCGGAAGACCAAGGGUUCCUGUCCAACGUUAAUCGGGGCAGGGUAAGUCGACCCCUAAGGCGAGGCCGAAAGGCGUAGUCGAUGGGAAACGGGUUAAUAUUCCCGUACUUCUUACAAUUGCGAUGGGGGGACGGAGAAGGCUAGGUGGGCCUGGCGACGGUUGUCCAGGUUCAAGUGCGUAGGCUGAGAAAUUAGGUAAAUCCGGUUUCUCUUAAGGCUGAGACACGACGUCGAGCUACUACGGUAGUGAAGUCAUUGAUGCCAUGCUUCCAGGAAAAGCCUCUAAGCUUCAGAUUGUAAGGAAUCGUACCCCAAACCGACACAGGUGGUCGGGUAGAGAAUACCAAGGCGCUUGAGAGAACUCGGGUGAAGGAACUAGGCAAAAUGGUACCGUAACUUCGGGAGAAGGUACGCUCUCGACGGUGAAGUCCCUCGCGGAUGGAGCUAUUGAGAGUCGCAGAUACCAGGUGGCUGCAACUGUUUAUUAAAAACACAGCACUGUGCAAAAUCGUAAGAUGACGUAUACGGUGUGACGCCUGCCCGGUGCCGGAAGGUUAAUUGAUGGGGUUAGACUUCGGUCGAAGCUCUUGAUCGAAGCCCCGGUAAACGGCGGCCGUAACUAUAACGGUCCUAAGGUAGCGAAAUUCCUUGUCGGGUAAGUUCCGACCUGCACGAAUGGCGUAAUGAUGGCCACGCUGUCUCCACCCGAGACUCAGUGAAAUUGAAAUCGCUGUGAAGAUGCAGUGUACCCGCGGCUAGACGGAAAGACCCCGUGAACCUUUACUACAGCUUGGCACUGAACAUUGACCCUACAUGUGUAGGAUAGGUGGGAGGCUUUGAAACUAGUACGCCAGUAUUAGUGGAGCCGUCCUUGAAAUACCACCCUUGUAGUGUUGAUGUUCUAACGUUGACCCCUUAUCGGGGUUGCGGACAGUGCCUGGUGGGUAGUUUGACUGGGGCGGUCUCCUCCCAAAGCGUAACGGAGGAGCACGAAGGUGGGCUAAUCACGGUUGGACAUCGUGAGGUUAGUGCAAUGGCAUAAGCCCGCUUGACUGCGAGAAUGACAAUUCGAGCAGGUGCGAAAGCAGGUCAUAGUGAUCCGGUGGUUCUGAAUGGAAGGGCCAUCGCUCAACGGAUAAAAGGUACUCCGGGGAUAACAGGCUGAUACCGCCCAAGAGUUCAUAUCGACGGCGGUGUUUGGCACCUCGAUGUCGGCUCAUCACAUCCUGGGGCUGAAGUCGGUCCCAAGGGUAUGGCUGUUCGCCAUUUAAAGUGGUACGCGAGCUGGGUUUAGAACGUCGUGAGACAGUUCGGUCCCUAUCUGCCGUGGGCGUUGGAAGAUUGAAGGGGGCUGCUCCUAGUACGAGAGGACCGGAGUGGACGAACCUCUGGUGUUCGGGUUGUGUCGCCAGACGCAUUGCCCGGUAGCUAAGUUCGGAAUCGAUAACCGCUGAAAGCAUCUAAGCGGGAAGCGAGCCCUGAGAUGAGUCUUCCCUGAUACUUUAAGUAUCCUAAAGGGUUGUUCGAGACUAGAACGUUGAUAGGCAGGGUGUGUAAGCGUUGUGAGGCGUUGAGCUAACCUGUACUAAUUGCCCGUGAGGCUUAACCAUACAACACCCAAGGGGUUU
rnacentral:rRNA from 1 species